CACAGGUUAUUCUUGAGUUGAUUGUCCUGUUGUCAACCGCAAGGGAAUUACUGAGAACUGGACCAGAGAGAUCCAGAGAGAAGAAGAAACAUCAGCAGAACAAUUAAAUCCAUUCUCACUAUCCUGCAUAAGAAAGAAGCGGAGAGGAAGAAGAUGCAUUUUGCUGUUAUUGAUUUUUAUUUUAUGUGUAUGGAUGUUCUGCCUGAAUGUAAGACUAUGAGCUACAUGCAUUCAGUGACUGCAGAGUUAUAGAUGGUUGUGAACCAAUAUGGAUGCUGGGAAUUGAACCUGGCUCCAAAGAAAGAACAGCCAGUGGUCCUAACCACUGAGCCAUUUCUCUAGCCCCCAAAAGAAAAAAAAAAGACUUUGGAAAAAAGCCAGCAUCUCUAGGAAUAAGAUUGCCAGGGCUGAAUUAAAAGGUACCAUGGCUUGACUACACAUAAGGAUCAGAUUGCCCAACCGAUAGUGGCCAAAGUUAGAGAUGUAGCUCUUGCAGGCACUCAAAGUUCCCACAAGGCCACCUGGUAGAUCACUACGCACUGCUUCGGGUGUUAAGUAUCCUCAAGGGACCCUACGUACACAAGGAGCCACAGACAGGUAGCCUCGCUUGGCCUUUCGUUGGACCAACCCUUCUUUGGCAAUGAAGCGUCUCUUAAAAAGGAGGUCUGGGUAAGGAAGGAGCAUCCUCACACCUUCAGGGCUGAGUGGCAAGGAAAACCAAGAGGCCAACGGCAGCAAUGGCUUCCAAGCCAAGGUGAAGAGGAGCAGGAAGUGGAAGCCUUCAAUCGAAAGUGUUGUUUCCCACGGCCGAUGAUCUGCUGUCCUCCUUAUAAAGAAUCUGCAUCAAUCUCUACCAGUUCACAAGUGUACCCUCCGCCCAACCCACAAAUUAAUUGUUGCCAACUCUAAACCUUUGAGAAGAGCAAAGUAAUCUAAACACACCUCCCUCCCUCCUAUGCACACACCACAGGGCAACUUUCCGGAAUCUCCAGAAAACGGAUGCGGCUCAGCAACAGUUAAAGAUGGAUUUCUUGUGCCUCUUGCACAUUUACAUAAUUGAUUCGCUGGAUAAUGCACUCUGCUUCCUUAUUUAAUAAACAUGUUAAUGAUUUCAGACAAUUACUCAAAA